CCUACGGGAGGCAGCAGUAGGGAAUUUUCGUCAAUGGGCGCAAGCCUGAACGAGCGAUGCCGCGUGAGUGAAGAAGGCCUUCGGGUCGUAAAGCUCUGUUGCGGGGGAAAAAAGGCAGCAUCAGGAAAUGGGUGCUGACUGAUGGUGCCCCGCCAGAAAGUCACGGCUAACUACGUGCCAGCAGCCGCGGUAAUACGUAGGUGGUGAGCGUUAUCCGGAAGGAUUGGGCGUAAAGGGUGCGCAGGCGGUCCUGCAAGUCUGGAGUGAAACGCAUGAGCUCAACUCAUGCAUGGCUUUGGAAACUGGAGGACUGGAGAGCAGGAGAGGGCGGUGGAACUCCAUGUGUAGCGGGAAAAUGCGUAGAUAUAUGGAAGAACACCAGUGGCGAAGGCGGCCGCCUGGCCUGUUGCUGACGCUGAGGCACGAAAGCGUGGGGAGCAAAUAGGAUUAGAUACCCGAGUAGUC
rnacentral:rRNA from 1 species